AGCAACGCCGCGUGGAGGAUGACGGCCCUCGUGGUCUUAAACUCCUGUCUAGUGGGACGAAAGUAUCCAAGGUGAAUAAUCUUGGGUAUUGACUGUACCGCUGGAGGAAGCUCCGGCCAACUCCGUGCCAGCAGCCGCGGUAAUACGGAGGGAGCAAGCGUUACUCGGAAUUAUUGGGCGUAAAGGGCGCGUAGGCGAUUCGAUCAGUCUCGUGUGAAAGCCCAAGGCUUAACCUUGGAAUGGCACGGGAUACUUUCGGAUUUGAGUUCCGGAGAGGAAGGCAGAAUUCCCGGUGUAGCGGUGAAAUGCGUAGAUAUCGGGAGGAAUACCAGUGGCGAAGGCGGCCUUCUGGACGGAUACUGACGCUGAGGCGCGAAAGCCA
rnacentral:rRNA from 1 species